rnacentral:rRNA from 1 species
GGGAUUAAUACCACAUAGUAUUGCAUAAUUUAUUUUUAUGCAAUUAAAGCUCCGGCGGUUAAAGAUGGGUGUGCGUUAGAUUAGCUAGUUGGUAAGGUAAUGGCUUACCAAGGCUACGAUCUAUAGGGGGCGUGAGAGCGUGGACCCCCACACGGGUACUGAGACACGGACCCGACUCCUACGGGAGGCAGCAGUAAGGAAUAUUGGACAAUGGGCGCAAGCCUGAUCCAGCCAUCCCGCGUGAAGGAUGACGGCCCUAUGGGUUGUAAACAUCUUUUAUUAGGGAAGAAACCUUUUGAUUUAUGAAGAGCUGACGGUACCUAAAGAAUAAGCAC